ACCCUUGUGGAGGAGGACGCCGAAGGUGGGGCUAAUGACUGGGGUGAAGUCGUAACAAGGUAGCCGUACCGGAAGGUGCGGCUGGAUCACCUCCUAACAGGGAGACAACAAAAUGUUUAAUAUUAUUAUUUUGUCACCUUAGGUCGAUCGGUAUCUCACGUUUUUAAUUCAUUAAGAAUUUCAUUUCCUAAGUUUUUCUAGGUCACACCCAUUAUUUUUCCUGGGCCAUUAGCUCAGGUGGUUAGAGCGCACCCCUGAUAAGGGUGAGGUCCCUGGUUCAAGUCCAGGAUGGCCCAUAUCUCUAUGUUGGGGGUAUAGCUCAGUUGGUAGAGCGCCUGCUUUGCAAGCAGGAUGUCAGCGGUUCGAGUCCGCUUACCUCCACUGAUUACCACCUCUUCCAUAAUCGGUAGAAAGGAAAUGUUUUGAGUUGUGAUCAAAUUCUGAACGAAUCUAGCUUCCUAAUUAAAUUAUUAAGAUGCUGGACUCAUUGAAUUAAUUUCAUUGUUUUCAGAGAACCUUGACAACUGCAUAGAUUAUUUUUAAAGACAAUAAGCAUCUUUAAUGAUGCAGAUUUAUUAUUUGUGCGAAUGCAUUAAUAACAAUUCUAUUAAGCUGAUGCUUCAAUUUUGAAGUUAUUGGUCAAGCUACAAAGGGCUCACGGAGGAUACCUAGGCAC
rnacentral:misc_RNA from 1 species